rnacentral:rRNA from 1 species
UACGAAGGGUGCAAGCGUUAGUCGGAAUUACUGGGCGUAAAGCGUGCGUAGGCGGUUUCUUAAGUCCGUUGUGAAAGCCCUGGGCUCAAUCUGGGAACUGCAGUGGAUACUGAGAGGCUAGAGUGUGUCAGAGGAUGGUGGAAUUCCCGGUGUAGCGGUGAAAUGCGUAGAGAUCGGGAGGAACAUCAGUGGCGAAGGCGGCCAUCUGGGACAACACUGACGCUGAGGCACGAAAGCGUGGGGAGCAAACAGG